UACGUAGGGAGCAAGCGUUGUUCGGAUUUACUGGGCGUAAAGGGCGCGUAGGCGGCGUGUCAAGUCGAUUGUGAAAUCUCCGGGCUUAACUCGGAACGGCCAAUCGAUACUGACGUGCUAGAGUGCAGAAAGGGCAAUCGGAAUUCUUGGUGUAGCGGUGAAAUGCGUAGAUAUCAAGAGGAACACCUGAGGCGAAGGCGGGUUGCUAGGCUGACACUGACUCUGAGUGCGCGAAAGCCAGGGGAGCAAACGGG
rnacentral:rRNA from 1 species